AGGUGAUUGAUGCCCGGUGAGAAGGUGAAAGUGACCUUUACCCCUGUCAGCUGCAGGAAAGGAACCAAGAGACAGGUGAUUGAUGCCCGGUGAGAGGGUGAAAGGGACCUAUACCCCCGUCAGCUGCAGUAAAGGAACAAAGAGACAGGUCAUUAAUGCCCGGUGAGAGGGUGAAAGGGACCUAUACCCCCGUCAGCUGCAGGAAAGGAACAAAGAGACAGGUCAUUAAUGCCCGGUGAGAGGGUGAAAGGGACCUAUACCCCCGUCAGCUGCAGGAAAGGAACAAAGAGACAGGU